UGAAGCAAAUUUCAGGGAGUGG
rnacentral:piRNA from 1 species